CAAUCGGCCCUUUUCAGGGCCACCACUAGUUUCUUGAAAAGAUUUU
rfam:Daphnia pulex DAPPTscaffold_6_Cont408, whole genome shotgun sequence.